UCUAACAGAAACAUGGAGAGGUUAUUCCCAGCCAAGAGUCCAGAAAUGAUGGCAAUGAUGUUCUGAAGUCUUGACUGUUUGAGACUUUUAAUGUACUGUAUUUAAUAUUCAUUUUGUUUUUAAUGAAAAAUUCGUCUAUGGGUCUUAAACAUGGUACCACUAAUUAAUGCAAAAAUCUUGGCUGUUAAGUCUCAGUUUGUUAGCAAAAUUGAGAUUUUCUGGCUUUUUAAUCUUUUGCACAUUAGGACGCAUCAUUAAAGUGACCCAGGUAGUGAUUAACUACAGGCAGUGGAUUAUUCAGCAGUGAGAAAACAGACACAAUUUCAGGAUGGACCAUAAGGUCCAGAAUGUUGGAGAAGACUUAGAGGAGCAGACCUUAAAUGAGCAGAGAGACUCCUCAUCACCUCACAGCCUUCAGCAGCACUCUUCAUCCUCUUCAUCUUCCUCUGUGUCUGCAUUCUCGGGAAGUGAUAUUGAUUCUGACUGAUUGUGCAGAGCUUCUGUUCUUCAAGAGAUCUUCUCAGUGUCCUCUGUGAUUGACACCAAUCAGAAACCACAGAGGAAGGCAAACACAUCUGGAGCAUUCCUGCCCAUACGAGGUCAGUCACACCCUUUACCCGGCAAACUGUGUAUGGAUGUGAAUGGAGUGGUCCAUGUGUCUCCCCCAGUCUAUUCCAGCUCAAUUCCCAGCCCCAGUCACCAUGCUUAAAUUGGCCAAAAGUUUAAUGUAAAAGGGACUCAACACACCAAUGGUUUUGAGCGGAAUGGCAUGCCUGGCCCCAGAGGACACCACCCUCAGUAUGCCCGUCACAGCUGGCACCGUCAGAGGUCAGCUUCUCCCAUGAACCUCAGCAAAUAGAGCCACCUGCUCUUCACAUGAGAAUGUUGCACAUAUUACUUUGGUUCCAAAGGUCGCACUUCCAAUUGAGAUGGACACCUCGCCAUCGGACACUUUACACAUCAUGGCUCCACUGCACUAUUGGGUGUUUCGUCCAGUCCAGUUCUACCUGUGACCACACCUUUGGACUUGUCUGUUUUCAUUUUACAUGUUCAUGUUUCCUUUCUGUUCUAUUUUCUGUUUGUAUGACAUUGUCUAAUUCCUUUUUGCUCCUCCUACUUUGUUUUUUGGAAUAUUUUUCAUAACAGUAGUCUGGUUGGCAGCACCACUGGGCUGUGCUUGUUUUUGUACUGUAAAUCUUUACGUACCAUCUUUGUGCAAUAUGGGUGUUUUUAUUUCUUAUUAGUUCAUUUUUAAGUUAAUCUUAAGUUUCCUAGAUUGAAUGUUAGUUGACAUCCACUAUGGCUCACUUUGGAUGUACAUAGUAUUUUAUCAUGUUCAAAUCCAUAUCGCAACCAGUUUUAUUGUUGGGAUUGUGGUUUUGUGCAUGCUACAAUCUUGAGUGUACUACUUGCCCAUCUGCUGGCCUUUAAGACACGCACAUCAGUUUUCGUGCCAGCUAAAUCUACCUUCUACCAAAAAUCAUCUCCUCUCUCUCAGACUUGUAUAAUACUAUAUGUCUGAUGUUUCAGUCCUAUUUGUAUUUUAUUUAAAGCAUUAGAAGGAUAGUUCACCCAAAAAUGUAAAUAAAUUAUUAUAAUUUACUCCCCUUUGUGUUGUUCAAAACCUAUAUUAUCUUUUUUCUUUUAUGGAACACUAAAGGAGAUUUACCACUUCCAUUAUAUGGUAAAAAGAUGCAAUGGAAGAGAAUGGUGACUGAGACUAACAUUCUGCCUAAUGUCUCAUUUUGUGUUACACAGAAGAAACAAGUCAUACGGGUUUGGAAUAAUAUGAGGGUGAAUAAAUGAUGACAAUUUAUAUUUCAUGAAUGUUUUUGAUUAACUAUCCCUUUUUAAAAAGUAUUUGAGGAUUAAGUGAUUGCACUGACUUUGGUUAACCAAUCAGUAUUAUUUUCUGUUGUCUGUUUACACAAGGGAUCUCCUGAUUAAUGGCAUACUAUUUUGUCAGUACUAGUUACAGCAUUGCGCACCUUAAACACUCCCAUUUUCACUUCCUUUGGAGUGUUUUCCCCACCCUUAAAUGCAUGUAACAGUUGCCUUUUUGGACUUUGUGUUCCGCCACCAGGUGGAGAUCUCGAUCUGCAUGUCUUCCCUUUUUUCCCCAGCUUUGGCACUUGCCAUGCUAUAACAUUUCACAGAGCACAUAUUUAUGUUCCAUAAUACUUUUGACAAGAUUAUCACUUCAUAUAUUCUUACAUAAAAACUUGUUGAUUUGUUCCUUACGCUUGACUGAUUCAAACACUCCACUGUGAGAUAAUUUUCAGCAUGUACGUGUUGCCAGUCCAUAUCAGACUCUUAAUUCUACCAGAAGGCUGGAGGUUUGAUCACCAAACAGGUUUAUCACUUCAAGUGUCUUUAGAGAGGGAGAGUUUUGUGCCAAUGCAGUGUUUUUAACUUUAGCUGUCAAACACUAAAGGAUAUAAAUGGGCCAAAUG